UUGACCUCAAAUCGGGUGAGACUAUCCGCUGAACUUAAGCAUAUCAAUAAGCGGAGGAAAAGAAACUAACAAGGAUCCCCUAGUAACUGCGAGU
rnacentral:rRNA from 1 species